UAAAAUCGUAGAAUGCAAAGU
rnacentral:piRNA from 1 species